GACGAACGCUGGCGGCGUGCUUAACACAUGCAAGUCGAACGGAAAGGCCUGCUUUUCCUUGUGUGUUGCGGGUACUCGAGUGUCGAACGGGUGAGUAUCACGUGAGUGAUCUGCCCCCAACUCGUGUAUAAGCCGGGGAUACUGGGUCUAAUUCCCGCCUGGUCCGCAGGGUGGUGCCUGUGGUUGAAGACGAUUUGCUAGUGGUUGGGGAUGAGCUCGCGGCCUAUCAGCUUGUUGGUGGGGUAGUGGCCUACCAAGGCGGCGACGGGUAGCCGGCCUGGGCGGUUGAACGGCCACACUGGGACGGAGACACGGGCAAGACGCAGACGGGAGGAAGGAGUGGUGAAUAGUGCACAAUGGGAGGAAGGCUGAGGCAGGGACGCCGGGUGCGGGAUGAUGGCCUUCUGGUGGUAGACCGCUUUCGCCCGGGUCGGAGGGGGAGUGACGGUAGUGGGUAAAGAAGCACCGGCUAACUACGUG
rnacentral:rRNA from 1 species